rnacentral:rRNA from 1 species
AUACAUGCAAGUCGAACGCUUCUUUUUCCACCGGAGCUUGCUCCACCGGAAAAAGAGGAGUGGCGAACGGGUGAGUAACACGUGGGUAACCUGCACAUCAGAAGGGGAUAACACUUGGAAACAGGUGCUAAUACCGUAUAACAAUCGAAACCGCAUGGUUUUGAUUUGAAAGGCGCUUUCGGGUGUCGCUGAUGGAUGGACCCGCGGUGCAUUAGCUAGUUGGUGAGGUAACGGCUCACCAAGGCCACGAUGCAUAGCCGACCUGAGAGGGUGAUCGGCCACAUUGGGACUGAGACACGGCCCAAACUCCUACGGGAGGCAGCAGUAGGGAAUCUUCGGCAAUGGACGAAAGUCUGACCGAGCAACGCCGCGUGAGUGAAGAAGGUUUUCGGAUCGUAAAACUCUGUUGUUAGAGAAGAACAAGGAUGAGAGUAACUGUUCAUCCCUUGACGGUAUCUAACCAGAAAGCCACGGCUAACUACGUGCCAGCAGCCGCGGUAAUACGUAGGUGGCAAGCGUUGUCCGGAUUUAUUGGGCGUAAAGCGAGCGCAGGCGGUUUCUUAAGUCUGAUGUGAAAGCCCCCGGCUCAACCGGGGGAGGGUCAUUGGAAACUGGGAGACUUGAGUGCAGAAGAGGAGAGUGGAAUUCAUGUGUAGCGGUGAAAUGCGUAGAUAUAUGGAGGACACCAGUGGCGAAGGCGGCUCUCUGGUCU